rnacentral:rRNA from 1 species
UGCGUAGGCGGGCUAAUAAGUCAGUGGUGAAAUCUUCCGGCUCAACCGGGAACCUGCCAUUGAUACUGUUAGUCUUGAGUUCGGUUGAGGUAGGCGGAAUGUGUAAUGUAGCGGUGAAAUGCUUUGAUAUUACACAGAACACCAAUUGCGUAGGCAGCUUACUAGACCGACACUGACGCUGAGGCACGAAAGCGUGGGGAGCGAACAGGAUUAGAUACCCUGGUAGUCC